UACAGAGGGGGCAAGCGUUAUUCGGAAUUAUUGGGCGUAAAGAGCGCGCAGGCGGUCGAUCAAGUCGAGUGUGAAAGCCCCCGGCUCAACUGGGGAGGGUCAUUCGAUACUGAUCGACUCGAAGGCAGGAGAGGGUAGUGGAAUUCCCGGUGUAGUGGUGAAAUGCGUAGAUAUCGGGAGGAACACCAGUGGCGAAGGCGACUACCUGGCCUGUUCUUGACGCUGAGACGCGAAAAGCGUGGGGAGCGAACAGG
rnacentral:rRNA from 1 species